ensembl:lncRNA
GCCGCCAUUUUAAUUCCCCACAAUACUGCUGAUAACAGGGCAUUGUGUGAAACUCAAGUGGCCAACGGCUGCUCUCACCAUCACUGCCAAGUAAACCCACCCACUUAAGAAGGGGACUGCUAAAGGGCAUUUAUGCCUAGGGUUCUCUCAGCCAGUGGAGCUCUCCAUAAUCCCAUGUCUCCAUGGAAGGCAUUUCAGAAUUGGGAUACCACAACUGGAAAAGCCCUGUUUUAUAGGCGGUGGUGGUGGGGACCCAAAGAAGGACUUGUGAGAAUCAUUUUAGUGUCCCAGCAGAUUCAUGUGAGAGAAGGUGGUCUUUAAGGUCCUAUAAUUAGAAGGGAAUAAACUGUUGUUGUUGUUUAAUUUCAGUUUACAGUGGUACCUCGGGAUACAUACGCUUCAGGUUACAGACUCCGCUAACCCAGAAAAUGUACCUCAGGUUAAGAACUUUGCUUCAGGGUAAGAACAGAAAUUGUGCUCCGGCGGCGCGGCAGCAGCAGGAGGCCCCAUUAGCUAAAGUGGUGCUUCAGGUUAAGAACAGAAAUCGUGCUCUGGUGGCGCGGCGGCAGCAGGAGGCCCCAUUAGCUAAAGUGGUGCUUCAGGUUAAGAACAGAAAUCGUGCUCCGGCGGCGCGGCAGCAGCAGGAGGCCCCAUUAGCUAAAGUGGUGCUUCAGGAUGAGAACAGAAAUCGUGCUCCGGCGGCGCGGCGGCAACAGGACGCCCCAUUAGCUAAAGUGGUACCUCAGGUUAAGAACAGUUUCAGAUUAAGAAUGGACCUCCGGAACAAAUUAAGUACGUAACCAGAGGUGCCACUGUACAUUAAUAUCUGAACCAUCAUUCACUUUUUAUGUCACCUGUGAGCAUUAAGUGCGCAACUGGUCUUCCAGUUUCCACUGUUAACCACAUGUCCCUAUAUAUUCCAGACAAAGGGGUUUGUGGCUAUCAUUUAUUUGCUACAGGAAGCACCUUGCAAACAGAGAUCACAUGACCCAGGUGGCGCGGCAGUGGCAGCAUCAAAGCUUCACAGGUGGUAAUUAGAAUGAUUUUUCAACUCGCUGAUGAAAAACACCCAUCAUUUAAAUUAAAUAUAUAAUAUGGGAUAAUGUAAGCUUUGGGCGAGGGUCUGAAAUUUGCAGCCCUAUCCUUUGCAUGUUUAUUCAGGAGGAAAUCCUGCUUGGUUCUGCAAGACUUACUUCCAUGUAAGUGUACAUAGGAUUGCAGCCUUGGUGUAUAUUCUGCUGGGUUGUGUGUUUGUGUUUGUGUGUGUGUGUGUUUAAAUCUAAGUUUUUUGGUCUAUAACAGGGUUGGGGCACUGUGAUACAAAUCAGCAUGGCCAAAAGUCCAGGUGGUGAAAGUUAUACAUUCAGCAAUGCCUGCCACGCCAAAGAUUUCCCUGGUAUAAAAUAUAUUGACAUGUCAUUUCAAAAUAGUAAUCUGUCCCAAAUUAGGAGACUGGAUAUGAAUUGGAAUAAACAAAUGCAUAUAUAUGCAACUGAAGGGACCUCAGAGCAAAACCAGGCUACCUACCACCAGAUUUCCCCCACAGAUUAAAUCGCAAAAUUCAGAUUACAGCGUGACAUUGGCAGAACAAAGGAGCGAAUCAAAUGCUUGACCUCAAAAAUGCUCUUCUCAUUCACACCUCCUUGCUGCUCACAUUAUAUUUCAUUUUUAAUUUGUGUGCCACCUUUCCACUUUUCCGUUCUUAGGGCAGUUUACAACAAAAUAUGCAGCAAAGUAACAUAGUCAUCCUCGAACAACUUGACCAAUAUUCAAAUUCAAAAUACAACUAAAAUCCAGAAUAUAACUAAUAAUAUGUGACACAAUUAAAAAAUGAAUUUCACAUAUACAUUACGAAAUAAUAUAAUAUCGGCUAAUGAUAAGAAAAUAAAAUCACCCCAUCAGUUAUGAUAAACCUCAGGAGUACAUUAGAAACAACCAAGAAAAAUGGGUUAUCCAAACUAGGGAUGGGGGAAGAAUUUCAUUCAGUUUGCUUUUAUAGGCAAAUCUGUCAAAUGCACUCUUUCUAAAACAAUCUGAGAACUGAAACACAGCCAGGCUUUGAAAUUUGCAAUUAUGCAACCAACAAAAAUGUUUACAAAAAUGCAUAUAUUAUGAGAAGGUGUGCAUAAAAUGAUGCAUUUAUUAGUGAGAAUAGCAUACAAAAUGCCUUAGAUUAAGUUUUACAUCAGUCACAGCUGUGUACAAAAAUAUGUUUUUUUAGGAGAAAAUCACACUAACAUGCUGGUGAUUUUGUUUUUAAUUGCAAAUUGCUGUAAACUAAAUUUAAGAUUGAAAAAUGAGAAACAGAGAACCAACGUUGAUAGAUCGUUUGAUCCAUAAUCCAUACCAAAUUAGCUACACUCGGGGUCCUUUUAAAUCUAUGUAAAAAGAUUAGUCAAACUAACUCCCAUCUGGAUCCAACCCAGGAGUAGCAAAAUGAUUUAUUGGGCUAACUUCCAGCCAGGCAAUACUAUCCUUAAAAAAUAAAUAAAAAUGAAUGGCUACACCUGAAGAUGAACUCUGUAUAACCUAAAAGCUUAUACUCCCAGCAUUCUCCAUUGUAAUCUAUGGCCCAAUAAAGUAGCAUCCAUUUCUUGCUCAGCACAGCCGACAAUGCCAUUUAAUGCACAUGAAUGAGCAAAGCCCUGGGUUGAGAGGAGAAGGGGGAAAACAUUCCUUCACCCUGAGUUGAUUCCCAUGUAACCUUUUUGUGACCUCCAGCAGAGGGUCAGUUGGUUGGGUGGCUUUUUAAAUGUUUAUUUUGCUUCAGGGUUUUUCCUCUUUGGUCAUUGCGGAAUGCUGAUUGCUCUCUAAUCCUUUUAAUGUAACCAGCCAACCUGUCUUCAGUAGAAACUGCCUGAAUUAAUGUCACUAUUUCUUUCUACUUCAGCUUCAGCCUUUCCAAGACUUAUUUUGUUCAGUCCCCAACGCCUGAAAUAAAGAACAAAAAUCCGUAUAUAAUUGGGUAUUGUUGCUAUUAUUACUAUUUAUCAUUUAUCUAAUUCCCAUCAGUGCACGACAUACAGUACCAGAAAGGUUGCUGGGUUAAGUUUGUGUGUUGCGGGGGAAACAACAAAGAGUCUUGGGGUGCCUGGAAGACGAACGUAUUUAUUACGGCAUAAGCUUUUGUGGAAACACGAAGUGUAAUCCUCAAUUGCAGGUACAUGUACACAGGAGGGGAGAAUUUGUUAGUGCGGACAUCAGAGGGAAAUGAAAUGCAAAAAAUAAGAGUCAGUUACAAUUCAGUUACAGCGAGAUGUAUGCAACAUAAGUACAGUGGCCCUUUGCAAGAGCAGUGAUAGGUGAUAAAUCUGUCAGCUUGGCAACAUGAGUUAAUGAAGGUUUGUAAUGGUACAUGAAACAGUAGCAGCCCAUAUUGGGGGGAGCAGAAAUGGCAUGAGGCUUGAUUAGGGCAAGGUUGUAGUGAGUUGAGAGGUAGUGUCAGGAGGGGAGCUUAAUAGCUCCCCCUCUCAAUGGGCUGGAGCAGUCAGGAAACCGUUGUCUUUAUCCAGCCCUAAAUGAUUAGAACUGAACUUUUUUGGUGAAUUGAAAUUCUGGCGCUGUGGUCUAAACCACAGAGCUUAGGACUUGCUGAUCAGAAGUUCGGCGGUUCGAAUCCCUGCGACGGGGUGAGCUCCCGUUGCUCGGUCCCUGCUCCUGCCAACCUAGCAGUUCGAAAGCACGUCAAAGUGCAAGUAGACAAAUAGGUACCACUCUGGCAGGAAGGUAAACAGCGUUUCCAUGCGCUGCUCUGGUUCGCCAGAAGCGGCUUAGUCAUGCUGGCCACAUGACCCGGAAGCUGUCUGCAGACAAAUGCCGGCUCCUUUGGCCAGUAAAGCGAGAUGAGCGCCACAGCCCCAGCGUCGUCCGCGACUGGACCUAAUGGUCAGGGGUCCCUUUACCCUUUACCUUAAUUUCCUGUUAAGAGCCUCCCUUUGAUGUUUGUGCAAAUAUAGCCACAGUAAUUCAGUAGCAGUGUGCUGCUGAUACACUGAAACGGUCUCCUAUUAGGAAUCAGGGCUCAAAACUGGGUUUCUUUAUAUCCAGUCCUAAUCUGUUAGCUAUUGUGUUUCAGCCCCUGCUUUGGAGGCAAGGACUUGAACCAAUUGAUUCAAGCCACAAGAAAAGAGAUUUCGACUAAACAUCAGGAAGGACUUUCUGGCCGUAAGAGCUGUUCAACAGUGGAACACACUUCCACAAGAAGCAGUGGACUCUCCUUCCUUGGGGAUUUUUAAUAAGAGGUUGGAUGGCCACCUGUCAUGUAUUUUAGUUGAGAUUCUGGUAUUGCAAGGGAUUGGACUAGAUGACCCUCAGGGUCCCAACUUUACAAUUCUUUGAUUCUGUAAGAGAGAGCCAUUAAUCACGUGCAGAGUGCAACCUCUAGGUAACUGGGUCGGCAUCCAGUCCAUACAUAUGGAGCAGAGCUGCGGAAAGCGGUUGGCUUCUAGGUACGCAUUAUUAUUCUCAGUAUCUCUGGUUUUUUAACCACCGUUUUAAAGAAAAUGGAGCCAAUCCAAGCACUCCAGUGUGAA